rnacentral:misc_RNA from 1 species
UGUGGGAGGGGGCUUGCUCCCGAUAGUGGUAUAUCAGCCACCUCUGUAUGGGCUGAACCACCGCCAUCGGGAGCAAGCCCCCUCCCACA